rnacentral:rRNA from 1 species
GAUGAACGCUGGCGGCGUGCCUAAUACAUGCAAGUCGAGCGAACGGACGAGAAGCUUGCUUCUCUGAUGUUAGCGGCGGACGGGUGAGUAACACGUGGAUAACCUACCUAUAAGACUGGGAUAACUUCGGGAAACCGGAGCUAACACCGGAUAAUAUUUUGAACCGCAUGGUUCAAAAGUGAAAGACGGUCUUGCUGUCACUUAUAGAUGGAUCCGCGCUGCAUUAGCUAGUUGGUAAGGUAACGGCUUACCAAGGCAACGAUGCAUAGCCGACCUGAGAGGGUGAUCAGCCACACUGGAACUGAGACACGGUCCAGACUCCUACGGGAGGCAGCAGUAGGGAAUCUUCCGCAAUGGGCGAAAGCCUGACGGAGCAACGCCGCGUGAGUGAUGAAGGUCUUCGGAUCGUAAAACUCUGUUAUUAGGGAAGAACAUAAGUGUAAGUAACUGUGCACAUCUUGACGGUACCUAAUCAGAAAGCCACGGCUAACUACGUG